UUCAAGGCUGGGCCCUUUUUGCCUUCAUCAACCAAAACCACUCUGUAAGUAUUUAAUAUUAAUUAAUUAAACCUUGUUCUCCCAUCAGGUGACCUCAGCAUGUAACUUUGGGUGCCAGGACAGAAGAUGGUGAGGUGGUCAAAUAAUAUAGUAUCAGGCAGAAACAUCCUACUUGUAAGUGUAUUACUGGAAAUAAACUAAGAUCCUUCUCUAAAGGGGAAACCCUAGCUUUCCUUGGGAUCCUGGUUUCAUGCACUAUACAUCCUUUGCGUGUGUCCAUACAUUUUUCCCUGUGAUCAACCACCAUCUGUAGAUCUGUGUCCCUGACUGCCAGUCAUUCUGGUGUUACUUGCAGAGAUCACACCAAGGACACAGGCGUGCAGUCAGUGAGGUUGGAAAAGUGCACUCCCCCUCAGCCAGCUACAAUUUCAUGUGUAUUAGCCACUGGAGUCUGUGGUUUGGCAUCAGCAACCACAGCACAACUAUCUUACUAUCACAGCUUUAGAAAUUGUCUUAUCAACAUGAACCUAAGGUUACCUAAGCCUGGUGCAGCCAUCCCCCGAUUAGUACUGGUGCACCCAUUUGUGCACUGGUCCCUCUUCCUGGUUCAUUACAGCACCUGUGGGUCAGAGCAAGCACUUCACAGGGCUCCACGAAGUGGGCUUUCCCUGUGCAGUAGAUUUAUAGCUGCUGCUCGUCACCCCUACUCUAGAUCUUUAUGCAAUUUCACAGCCCUAUGGCACCAGAGACCUCAGCUGGUGAGGGCUGAGGCAAACAGCAGCUGCCUGUCUUCUGCUAUGCCAGCAGCACUGUUUCUUUGCCAGGAACUAUCACUGUCAAGUAAGGGUUAAAAAAAACCACUGCUGAAUUGCCCUUCAAGGCCAGAGCCUUCUGUGUGCAUCCUUUUGAAAUAACAUCACAGUCCAAAACAGGGAUAGCUCAUUCAGUGAUGCAGGAUCCAUGCCUGGGCAGCAGCUGGAGAGGACACAAGGGAGUAAACGCUGAAUCAGAAGUAUUUUAUUUCUGGUAGUUAAAUAAUGGACUAGGAACGUCUGUAAGCAGGAGUUGAGAAAAGACAAGCUUGUCUUUCUGCAGCACACGAUGAAACAGUUCCUGAGGCAGUUCAUACCAGUGAUGCUUUGAAGUCCUAGCCACUUUCCCAAAACUCCUCUUGUGGAGUUGUGUAUAGAACUGUGAUUCAAAGGUGUGCUUUUGGGCAGGUUUGGUUUGCCUGGUAUCCACACCCAUGUAUGUAAACCAGAGUAAAUCCUACAGUGAGAAGCAUGCAGAGAUUUAUCUUGCUACAGGUCUGGAUGUGUGACAGAGCUGACAACAUCAGGUCCUCAGAAUCCUAGGGCUGCUUCUCUAGACAAAUUUUAAAAAGUGCAAAUUGCUAAAACCACUUGCUUAAUUUUGCUUCCCUCAUUAGUUCACUGAUUUUUCCAUGUAGGUAUACAAAGUGCCUGUGUGGAUGUACAUGUUCCUGUAUUUUUGCAGUUAUAUUAUUUGUUUUUAGAAGAUGGCAUGCCCCAGCAAGCUCCUCAGUUUACAACGUCCUUCCUCUGGCCAGAAGGAGUUACUGCAGCUUCCACAAGCCAUGCUGGGGCAAGGUAAACUUCAUGUCACAUUGGCACAAAGUAGUUGGGCUGAAAGCUACUACAGGAUAAUUCGGUAGCAUCAAAAUGUUUCUGAAAAUACUUUUUUGUUAAAGUCCUGAGUCUUGUUGCUGGCAAGCUUCUGAGACAAGCCUCUGUGUCCUUCAGAAGACUUAAUCUGUGCCACAAAUGCAUCAGCUCACUUAAAACUACCACUGUGAGUACAACCUUAUAAAAAGCAGCAGAGAAAUGUCAAUGCUGUACUUAGAUAAAUGGUUUCUACAGGAAAAAGUGAGUUUGCUCAGUGUGACUUUUUUAUGAUCUGAGCAUUCAGAGCAUUUCAAACAUCUACUUGAUCAACAGGAAGAAAUCAACUCUGCAUUUACACAAUCUUGUACUAAUCUCCCUGUUCCCAGUAACUCUUAAACCUAUGCUAAUGUCAACCAAAUGAGAGGGGCAGAGGCCUGGAACAGGCAGAGCUAUAGAAGCUUUAUCACUAUGAAGUUGGUGGAAAAGGGCUCCACUGUGGAGUCUGCCUGCAUUUUUGCUCUUUGGUCUCUCAAGUCUAAUGAAUUUUCAUGCUCUCAUUACUUGGCCACUCUGCAGAUGUGCUGGACCAGCCAGCCUCAGUAUGGAGGUCUUGGGAAGGAGACCAGGACCAUACUGGAAGAUAAGAAGAUGAAAGCUCUGGCUGAAGUCCAACGUUUUCAAAAGCAGAAACUACUUUGAAGAGCUCUCCUCAAUACUCAGCACAAGAACUCUAAAGGGAUUGAUUUCACAGUUGUCAUCAUUAUCAACUAUACUUUUUUUUUAACUACACGAUUACUUCUGCAAAGCUGCUGCUCCCCAUGGGUGGUUUCAGAUCCUCAGCAGGUGAGCAGAAAACACUGGUUCCUCCCUGUUCCUUCUGCCACAAAGAAGUGCCCAGCCCUGGCACCACCGGCAGCCCCACCAUGCUCACCCUAAUGUUGCUUGGCUGUUAAGGCAGCAUGGAGCUCUAUGAGGGGAGAUGCUGACUCCUCCACAGCUGCCAGACAGGUGGGUAGGAUUCACUAAAAUGGAAAGCAGUAGAGUUUUAUGUGGCUUCAAGCUGGUUGUAGGGUCGCUGUGUGCUCAGGGGUAUGAGAAAUCCCAUGGAACAGGAGUAUGGUAUCAGAUCCUGCUGUGUGUAGCCAAGACAGAGACCAUCAUAACCUUAAUGAGACAAUAUACUUUAAUGUCUUUCUCUUCUGCAACUCUUGUGUGCCUCAGUCAUCUAUGACUGAGAAAAAGGCAAGGUUAUUUCACAAUUUCAAAAGGGUUUUACUGUCCACGUGGAUGAUAUUCCACAGGAUGGAUGUCCAAAAACAGGGUAAGCACCUAAAGGAAAUCUUUAAAACAAGAAGCUCUUGUUCCAAGUGCAGCAAAGCAAAGUGGAAAUUCUGCCAGCUUCCUAGGUCAUACUUUUAGCAAAGGUGGCUUGUACCCAGAACCAGUAAAAGAUAGUCGUGGUAGAAGUACCACUUCUCAUCUUCAUAUGGAAACAAGAUGGGCACUGUAAAGAAUUCUGGCAUGCUUUUGGAGGUGGUUUCGAUGUGGUUUUGUCAUUUGUUUUUUUUUUUUCCAAAUCACCUCACUGUAGUUGAACUCCUGAAGACUUUUUGAUCUUGGAAGAUGUUAUGGUUUGAGGGGGCAGAAACGAAUUUUAUGGCAUUGAUGGGAUGACCUCUGAUGGCCAAACCUGAGAGAGACAAAAGGCAUUAAUUAUGACCCUGAGGAGGUCCAGCCAGCAGAACAGAGAAGGGCCAGAUCACCUAAGUAUUUUCUCCCAUUUUCUGCUAUUUUCUAUAAAAUUCCAGAGGGGUGGGAGAGGGGUAUCUUGCCUCCUUUCUCUCUUCUAGUGGACAUAUUAGAAGGAGACUUCUGGCUCUCUGUCUUCAGCUCACCACAUGCUCUGCAGAAUCUGACUUCAUCUGUUGCUGAGAAGAGUCCUGGCCCUUUUUUCCCAUGUCAGUUCUGCCACAAGGGACCUUGGGACUUUUGUAUCAGCUACCAUUAACAAUGGGUUUUGUUUAUAUAUAUGUGUAUAUUUUUCAUUACUUCCCCAAUUGUUACUAUCCCUUCCCUGUUUCAUUAAACAUU